CCUACGGGAGGCAGCAGUGGGGAAUAUUGGACAAUGGGGGGAACCCUGAUCCAGCCAUGCCGCGUGUGUGAAGAAGGCCCUCGGGUUGUAAAGCACUUUCAGUGAGGAAGAACGCCUGGUGGUUAAUACCCAUCAGGAAAGACAUCACUCACAGAAGAAGCACCGGCUAACUCCGUGCCAGCAGCCGCGGUAAUACGGAGGGUGCGAGCGUUAAUCGGAAUUACUGGGCGUAAAGCGCGCGUAGGUGACUUGAUAAGCCGGUUGUGAAAGCCCCGGGCUCAACCUGGGAACGGCAUCCGGAACUGUCAAGCUAGAGUGCAGGAGAGGAAGGUAGAAUUCCCGGUGUAGCGGUGAAAUGCGUAGAGAUCGGGAGGAAUACCAGUGGCGAAGGCGGCCUUCUGGACUGACACUGACACUGAGGUGCGAAAGCGUGGGUAGCAAACAGGAUUAGAUACCCUGGUAGUC
rnacentral:rRNA from 1 species